CAAUUCUCCUGCCUCAGCCUCCUGAGUAGCUGGGACUAUAGCAGGAUGGGCUGCAGGCAAAACUCCUCAGACACCGGCUGAAAGAGGGAAGAGGCUUUAUUUAGCUGGGAACCUUGGCAGACUUGCAUCUCAAGAACCAAGCUCCCUGAAGAAAAAAUUCCUGGCCUUUUUGAGAGGUGAAGCGAGCUGGACUUCCUGGGUUGAGUGGGGACUUGCAGAACUUUUCUGUCUAGCUAGAGGAUUGCAAACGCACCAGUCAGCACUCUGUGUCUAGCUAAAGGAUUGUAAACACACCAAUCAGCACUGUGUAAAAAUGCACCAGUCAGCGCUCUGUGUCUAGCUAAAGGACUGUAGACGCACCAAUCAGCACUCUGUAAAAAUGCACCAAUCAGCACUCUGUGUCUAGCUAAAGGAUUGUAAACGCACCAAUCAGCACUCUAUAAAAGCGCACCAAUCAGCGCACUGUGUCUAGCUAAAGGAUUGUAAACGCACCAAUCAGCAUUCUGUGUCUAGCUAAAGGAUUGUAAACGCACCAAUCAGCACUCUGUAAAAAUGCACCAAUCAGCACUUGGCAUCUAGCUAAAGGAUUGUAAGUGCACCAAUCAACACUCCGCAAAAACACACCAAUCAUCACUCUGUGUCUAACUAAGGGAUUAAAUGCACCAAUCAGAACUCUGUAAAAAUGCACCAGUCAGCACUCUGUAAAAUGGACCAAUCAGCACUCUGUAAAAUGGACCAAUCAGCAGGACAUGGGUGGGGACAAAUAAGGGAAUAAAAGCUGGCCACCCCCCAGCCAGCAGCGGCAACCUGCUCAGGUCCCUUUCCACUCUGUGGAAGCUUUGUUCUUUCGCUUUUCACAGUAAAUCUUGCUGCUGCUGACUCUUUGGGUCCACACCACCUUUAAAAGUUGUAACACUCGCUGUGAAGGUCCGCAGCUUCAUUCUCGAAGUCAGUGAGACCAAGAAUCCACCAGAGGGAACCAAGUCUGGACACACUUUUAAGGGCUUACAACUCUAUGGGGGUCUACGUGAAAGAUAUCCAGCAAGUGAUCUAUAGCUUUUACUUCCUCCUUCUCUUCAGGGACAGGAAACAGUAAGAGAAAUGGCGUAUCUCCUCAGCUUAAGAUAGUACU
rnacentral:lncRNA from 1 species